rnacentral:snRNA from 1 species
UUAGAAGCGCAGUGGCAGUAUCAUAACCAAUGAAGUUAAUCUGAGGUGUGAUUAUUGCUAGUUGAAAAUUUUUUUCCAGCUAUUUGGCCCGUCCUAAUAGUGAGGUACAUUUUUAAAUGUCGUAAAUAUGA